rnacentral:rRNA from 1 species
UGGGCGUGGUGGCGUGCAUGAGAAUGCAAGUCGAACGGACGAGUGGGCUUGCUCACUCGUUAGUGGCGGACGGCUGAGUAACGCGUAGGUGACCUGCCCCGAAGUGGGGAAUAACUGCCCGAAAGGGUGGCUAAUACCGCAUACGGUGCCGCGUUCGAUCGCGUCACCAAAGCCGCAAGGCGCUUCGGGAGGGGCCUGCGUCCGAUUAGCUCGUUGGUGGGGUAACGGCUCACCAAGGCGACGAUCGGUAGGUGGUCUGAGAGGACGAUCACCCAGACUGGGACUGAGACACGGCCCAGACUCCUACGGGAGGCAGCAGUCGGGAAUUUUGCUCAAUGGGCGAAAGCCUGAAGCAGCAACGCCGCGUGAGGGAUGAAGGCCUUCGGGUUGUAAACCUCUUUUCUCAGGGACGAUGAUGACGGUACCUGAGGAAGAAGCCACGGCUAACUACGUGCCAGCAGCCGCGGUAAUACGUAGGUGGCGAGCGUUGUCCGGAUUUACUGGGCGUAAAGAGCGCGCAGGCGGUCGUGCAAGUCGCGUGUGAAAGCCCCCGGCUCAACUGGGGAGAGUCACGCGAUACUGCUCGACUUGAAGGCGGGAGAGGGAAGCGGAAUUCCCGGUGUAGUGGUGAAAUGCGUAGAUAUCGGGAGGAACACCAGUGGCGAAGGCGGCUUCCUGGCCCGUUCUUGACGCUGAGGCGCGAAAGCUAGGGGAGCAAACGGGAUUAGAUACCCCGGUAGUCCUAGCCGUAAACCAUGGACACUAGGUGUUGGAGGAUUCACUCCUUCAGCGUCGCAGCUAACGCGUUAAGUAUUCCACCUGGGAAAGUACGGUCGCAAGGCUG